rnacentral:other from 1 species
AAGUUUCUAAGAUAUUCGUGUCGCUUUUAUUUUGAACCUACAUUGUGCAGAAGGGAGUUCAAAAUAUAAAGACGUAUACCAGGCCCAUGGUAAGUCCAUUAUGGCAGGGGAAGGUAGAAAUCUUUGUGAGAACACCCACCUAUCGAGAGGAUAGGUGUCAAAGUAGAAGCAACGGUAUCUUGGAUAAAAG